UCGUUGCCUAGGUUUCCACUGUUGCUGAAGGGGAUUCCUGGUGAUGUGAUUUUCGACGAAUCGCAGAAUCACAUUGCCAGGGAUUACCAGUUGGUGACAUGUGUACCGCACCGGAACAA
rnacentral:precursor_RNA from 17 species